AGCAGCUUCGGGCUGUCUCUGUCUGAGGGCACGCAGCAAUGGGAGAGCAAGGCAGAGAAAAGCAGGUGCCCUGAUUACUUGCCAAGUCCACAUAGUUCUGGAUACAUCAGGAAAACCUCAGCCCCUGGAAAGCCAGGGCACAGAUCUGUCUAAUAAAGCCUAAUCUCCUGCAGGCUCUUCAGCUUUGCCUGGAACCAGUGAGCAGGGGGUGCAGUCCUUCCUGUCUCUACCCUGCCCAGGCCCCUUAAUCCUGAGCUUUCCGAGAACCAGAGGAUGUGCCACAGGCAGGGUCUGAAAAGAAAGUGAUUAGAGAGGAUUGCCAUGAGGACUGAUGAGAGAAAGGCUAGAAAGGGAAACAACACGCAAAGGGAAACUGGCAUUAUGUCAUGACUUUGUCUGAAAGCAGUUCAUCACUUCAGAUAAAGUCAGACACAAUCACAGAAGCAUCUGGCUGGAGAGGACCCGAGAGCUCAUCUCAUUUAGACCCUCACUUCUAGACUGGGUAUUGCUGUGAUGGAUUCAGGUUUUUGCAUCCUGCAUUCUGCACAAGCUUCUCUCAUUAUCAAAGGAAAAAAGUCGAGAGAGUGAAUGUGGAGCCUCAAGCAAACAUUUCUGAAAAUACUGCAUUAGACUUGUGAAUUGCAAAAUAUAUAGAUCACCUCCAUUUGCCCACUCACCUCCUGCCCUCCUACAGAAUAAGAGUUAUUUAUAUAACCUGAGGUGGGGCACCCAACAGUACUCCCUAUUCUUAUCUAGCCUCCUCUGCUUGGUCUUUCAUGCCAAAGCUGCAGGAGCAAACCAGGUCUGCCUUGAAGUUUGAAAGGUUCUGAGAUUUGGGUGUGAACGCAAGAUUAUAAAAGUCCUUCUUUCUCCUUCUAUCACUCUGGAUUAAUUGGUGGAAAGUUUUAAGGGCCAGAGCGGUCUCUAGGUCUCAGAUGAAUGCUCUCUGUUUGCCUCUUGGAGCACUGUCUUCUAGAAAGCCUGGCUCUCCAGGGACAGUCCCCUCCUCACUGGCUGGGCAGGGAUCUUGGUGUACCCAACACUUGAGGCCUCCCUAGUUCCCCAGACUGUCUUUUUUGCCUCCAGGUUAGCCAUGGGCCAAGGCAUACUAAAAUUUCUCUUCACAAGGAUACCUAGGAAAAGAGAUCCUACACUACCUAGAGAUCCAAAUUCAUAUUUGUCAUUAGGUUGGUAAACUCUGCUCUGUUUUAUCUUCACCUCUCUCCUUCUUGGCUUCUAUGGGAAUAAUAUAUUAAUUCUUUAGCAUUUAUUAAAAACGCUGCCCGAUUUGGUUGCGUAAAUUAACGGAAACUAUGGCUUCUAAUUCAAAGGUCAGGGACAUUUUGAAGAAUCAAAAAGGGAAGGGUUCAAGGAUGUGUCCACAGCAGAGUGCAUUACCAGUAGGGGUCAGGCCCAGUAGGCACUGUUGUCAAGGGCUUUGGUCACUUGGGAGCAGCCGUCAGACUGGCACUGAUAGGGGUGGGAUAGCACAGCCCACAGACACCUGUCCAUCUGCUUGACAGACACAGAGCCCAGUCAAUUGAAGACAAGCUGUCUGCCUCACUAUUCUGUACAUGAAUAGAUCUGACUUUUCCACUAGUUAGAGUGGAGGACAGAAUUUUGGUAUAUAUGGACAUUAAGAGCACCGAAGUGUUAGUGUCAGUGGAUCUCAGUUGGUUCUGCAAGGUCCUAUCUAUGUGACUUUGAGUUUGUUGCAUAACUAUCAAGCCAUACUUCCCUUAUCUCAGAAAUGGUGGUAAUGGUAAUACUUAACUCGUGAGGUUAUUCUGAUGACACAAUGGACAGAAACUUGAAAAUUACUGGCAUGUAAGUGGUAGUUAAUGUUAGAUAUUGUCUUAGUCAAUUGAGAAUGCUGCAACUGAAUACUUUAAAAUGAGUGCUUAAACAAAACACAUUUCACAGUUCUGGGGGCCAGGAAGUCCAAGAUCAGGGUGCCAGCAUGGUCAAGGUUUUGGUGGGAACCUUCUUCCUGGUUUUCAUUUGGCUUUCUUUUUGUUGUGUCUCACGUGGCAGAGAUCAGAAAGAGAGAAAGCAAGCAAGUCCCUUUGUGUUUCUUUUUCUAGGGCACUAAUCCCAUUCAGGGCUUCAUCCUUUUGACCAAAAAUUGCCUCCAAAAAGCCCAUCUUUAAAUACCAUCACACUGGGGAUUAGAUUUGAACAUAUGAAUUUUGAAAGACACAAACAUUCAGGUCAGGGCAGGUAUUGUUAUUAUCUAUCUCCUGCUCCCUUCUCAUCUAAAAGACGCUCUACCUAUAGACAUACUAUUGAAAAUAUAUUUUAGAACGCUCUCUUGUCUCAUUAUACUCUUUUAUUAUCAGUCCUUAACAUCAACCUCAUCUCCAGGAAAGAUUUUAAAGGAUGCCCUUAGUGUCAAGAGAAAGCUAAAUGUUCUUUCAGAAAUAUGGGCAAAAUACUUACAUAUCUACAGAUACUCAUAUGCUGUUCAUGAAUGUAUAAACUGGUAGAACGUUUUCAGAGAGCAAUAUGGCAAUAUGAACAGUAGUCCACUCUUUUUACUAAAUAUAUCUAUUAAUGGAACAGAUGAGAAAACCCAGAAAUAAUCUCAAAUGCACAUAGAAUUUGGUGUAUGAUGAAGAUGACAUUUCAAGUUAAUAGAGUACAGAUGAAUUAUCAAUGAAUUUAAUUGGGACAACUGGGUAGCCAUCUGAUAAAAUAUUAAGUUGGAUCCUUAUGCCAUUUCUUAUGCCAAAAUAAAUUUCAGGAGGAUAAAAUAUACAACUGUGAAAAAGGAAUCCAUAAAAGUGUGAUGAGAAAGCUUGGGGACAAUAAUUUAUAAUGUCAAAGUGAGGAAAAACGUCCCACUAAGAUGUCUUAAAAUUUGUUUCCAUAAAUGUAUGAUUUGUUAAAUGGUAAAAGGCAUGAAAAAUAUUACCAUGUGAAACACAGCCCACAUUUGUGAAAACUGUGACUAAUAUUUCUGCAAGCAGAUUCAUCUGCCAACUUGGGAUUUGUAAGUAAAAAAGUUUCAAUGGACUGUUUUGGUUCCAUCUUGUAUUUCAAAACGCCUUCCACGGAGAAAAAUGCCCAUAAUAUGGGAAGAUUGUGACCCUGUGGUGUACAGUGGAUUAGACACUGGAUGCAAAGAAACUUUCACUUUGCCCCUUCCUGGAUUUUCUGUUUCAGAGUAUGCGGAGGGCAGCCCAGAGAAGCACUAAUCUGGAAAAACAAAAGAAAACAAUUUUUUUCCUCAGUAUUUCCCAAAAUUUCCUAUCUGAAAGCAUUGAGUUUUUAAUUUUUUGAAACAAUAAUAUUGUGUAUAUAUUAUAUGUUGUGAACACCCCCUUCAUAGCAUAUGGGGCUACAUUCUAUAACCAGAUAUGUUUU
ensembl:lncRNA